ACUCUCAGCCGUAUCACCCUGCAGCCCAAGACCGGUUACUCACUGAAGCUAAGCACAGCUGAUUCUGGUCAGUAUCCGGAUGAGAGACCACAUGAGAAAACUAGCUUGCUGUUGGAA
rnacentral:rRNA from 1 species